AUUACAUUAUACAUAUCUUUUUUCAAAACUGCUGAGUUGACAGACGUUCAGAAAAAUUGAGAAUCAGUCAUUCAAUUUGAAUCCUUGUACGGGAAUCUAUGCGAUGACUAAUCCAAGCAGAUAUCGGAAGUGUAAGGCCCAUUAUGGCUUAAACGCGAUGCAGGAGCAAAGAGAUUUGAAUGCGGCUCACACUUUUGGCCGAGUCGGCAAUUGCGGCCAUAAACAGGCCGAGCACGCCUCAAACUAAACAAAGCGCAACCGCAACAGUUGAAAGGAAAACUGAGGAGGAGGGGGAAAACCAUUUGCAGAAAACGUGUGCGAAGCGAAGAGGCGGCAAAAACAAAACGAACUGCA